AUUGUUCAAACACGUAGGCAAAGAGCCAGGAAAUUAGCUUAAAAGCAGUUUAUGGAUGGGAGGUGGGGCAGAUCUCCAGAGCUAUCCUGCCGCCAUCCCAGAGUGCCCCGUAUAAUGCUCAUGCUUGGAACCCUAUGUCCAAGUUGUAAGGAAGCCCAAGCAGCCCAUAAAGAGGCCCACGUUAAGAAGAACCAGGACCCACAGUCUAAGUGAACUCUCAGCUAAUAGCACCAUUUUGCCAACCAUGAGUCAAACUGGCAGCUUCAAGGACCUUGGCUGAAAUUGGUCCAUUUGGAUAUGUGUGCUUGUUUCUGCAAUGUCCUGAAUGACUGUGGGAAAGGGCUUCACAAGGCUUCAUAAGACACCUGGAUCUCAUAUCUGCUUCUGCAUUCAAUCUGUUGCACCAAGUUGUUUUGACUGAAGGGUAUGAAGAAAAACUGGCCUCAUCCAAAUAUGCGGUUGGAAAAGGGUGGAGUAUUUUAACAGCCCUUCAAAUAAUUGGUCCCAGUGAUCAAGCUUUGUCUCCAGCAUCAUUUUACCCUUUAUUCUUGGAAGGGACACUGGAGGCGACUGAUUCCAACCCCUCGACUUGAAAGUUGAAAGAUGCAAAGCACAGAGCAGGGGAUGACAUGCUCAAGGCCCCAUCACCAGUCGGAGGCAGACCUGCAUAGAACUUGGGACAUAAAUGUAGGCACACACAAAACCCAGAGACAUUCCACCGACAUUUAAAAUCAAGAAUCCUCCCUGAUAUAGUAUGACCUUGUAAAUGAUGCAAAGGGUUUGAACAAUUCAAAACAAACAAACAAACAAAAAAACAGGUCUAGGAUAAGUUUUUUCAAAAUCAUCAAAUAUAAAUUUCAACCCAAUUUUUUAAUUUCAUAAAACCAAGGUUAAAAGAGGUUGAGUGAUUAGUUAAAAGUUAUGGGCAAGUGAUGGUAACGUCAAGCCUCUAAUUCAUAUAUUUGCCAAGCUCUAGCUUUGAAUGAUAUUGUAACUCGAAAGGAAUAAUGUUGUUCUUUUUAGAAAAUAACAUGGUCAUGGUAGACCACUUGGAAAAAUAUACAUAAACAUAAGGACAAAGUGACCCAUACAUUAAAGAUAAUCACUGUUAAUAUUUUUAUUAAAUGAAAAGCAUUACAUGUAACUUUACCUAAGUUUAUCAGAAAAAAAGAAUUAAAGAGGGUCGGUAUGGUGGUUCACGCCUAUAAUCCCAGCACUCUGGGAGGCCAAGGUGAGAAGAUCACUUGAGCCCAGGAGUUUGAGACCAGCCUAAGCAACAUAGGAAGACCCCAUCUCUGCAAAACAAACAAACGAAAACGAGGUGGGCAUAGUGGCAUGCACUGGUGGUCCCAACUACUUGGGAGCCUGAGGUGGGAGGAUCAUUUGAGCCUGGGAAGUUGAGGCUGAAAUGAACCAUGAUCAUGCCAGCCUGGGGAACAGAGUGAGACCUUGUGUAAAAUAAAAUAAAAUAAGAAAUGUAAGAAAUAUGAGAAAUUGCUGACUUUCAGAAAAAGAUUUCUUUAAAACAAGAAAUAUUCAUUUCCUGAAGGAGUCUUCUAUACUUUAAAUACAAAUCUCAAGAAAAAUAAAUUUAUGUUUCUAGAUGUAAAAUCUGUCAUCUGUCUUAAGAAAAUCAGAAGAUGUUAUAAUACCGAUAUCUAAAUAAAAUUUUAAGACUUCUAUUUUCUAAUUUAAAAACAACCUGAGCCUACUUAAGAAUAAAAUCAUGGAAAAAGGCAAAUUUAUAAAAUAUUAUAUAAAAGUAACAAAAGCAGUGGUAGAAAAAAAAAUAGCCACAUAGAGAAGUAACUGUAAUGGUCAUAUAUGCAAUAAACAAAAAAUAAAUUUACAAGAACAGUUAGUGACUCUCUUAAUUCCAACUCUAAGUUUCUUGACCUGUGGGAGUUUGGAUUUGCUGUUUCAGAAAACACCAUUUUAUUCACUUCAUUAACGGCACAAAUUUUUACUCGCUUCAUUAAACAAUCAUGUCUGUCUCAUUUUUUUCCUCCUAAAAUUCCUAAAUGCAUUUCUACUGGUGUUGAAGAGAGCAGACAUAAGCCAUUAUCUCAUUGGUAACUCCACAAAAUUGAACUUCCAGGUUCCUAAUUCUAUCAUUUGUGUUAUUAUAGCAAAUGUGUUCUUUAAUAAAGUCAUUCAUCAUAGAACCCUCUGAGUUGGUGUCUCACUUUCAAUGGAUCGGGUUUUUCACCUGCUGUAUAAUGGUCAUAACUGGAUUUCUCUUCAUCUAAAUCUGGGGUUAUUUCAGCUGUUUCAUGUAUCUCAUAUCUUCC
rnacentral:lncRNA from 10 species